GGUUGGUUCGUCCUCGGGGUUACCAUUUCAGUUCUGUUAUACUCACAGACAUUAUUUUAAGUUGUAGAAACUUUAGAGUGUUUUUUAAAAAUCCAAAUCUACCAAUGUUAUGCAUAUCCCAGCUUAUGGGCCUGACUAACAGGCCGUUUACUUUGGGCUCCCUUUUCACCCGGAGGUGGAAAUACUGCCCCCUACCCUAGAGAGGUUCAGCAUAUCCCAGGUUAUGGGCCUGAGUAACAGGCAGUUUACUCUGGGCUCCCUUUUCAUCCGGAGGUGGAAAUACUGCCCCCUACCCUAGAGAGGUUCAGCAUAUCCCAGGUUAUGGGCCUGAGUAACAGGCAGUUUACUCUGGGCUCCCUUUUCAUCCGGAGGUGGAAAUACUGCCCCCUACCCUAGAGAGGUUAAGCUGCCCUCAUAAAGGAUACUUUGGAUGACUACUGUUGUUUUUCAUCCGGAAUCACUCUGUAAACAAACACCCAGAAGACCUUUGCGGCUCCGCCAUCUUUAUAUUUGAUAGAGGUCAGGUUUUUCAGUUUAGACUUCUGGCUCUACUCUACGUGACAUUUUUGUAACAGGUGUGUGUAAGUAACAGUAGUUUACAAGUGUGUGUUGGUAAUUGAAGUUUACAGGUGUGUGUUUGUAACAGGUAUGUGUUUGUAACGUGUGUGUCCGUAACAGGUGUGUGUUUGUAACGGUAGUGUAAAGGUGUGUGCUGGUAACAGUAGUUUACAGGUGUGUGUUUGUAACAGGUGUGUGUUUGUAUCAGU